rnacentral:rRNA from 1 species
UGGUGGAGUGAUUUGUCUGGUUAAUUCCGUUAACGAACGAGACCUCCGCGUGCUAAAUAGUUCUGUUUACCAAUUUGGUAGAUAAGGACUUCUUAGAGGGACUUUCAGUGACUAACUGAAGGAAGUUGGAGGCAAUAACA